ensembl:lncRNA
CAACAGGGAGUUAAAGCCCGAAAUUACUGGGGUUAUUGGAGAAACUCUCUUAUGGUUCUGCUGUCUCCUUAGUAGGAGCUAGAAAAACAGAACUAUCUGGAAGGGAGCCAAGGUCAAUGACGUCUUGGUGGAAAGGGCAGUAACAGGAAGCCAGCAUCAAGGCUAAGCGCCUCUCCUGGGGGUGAGUUCUCCUGUGCGAAGAGUUGCAUGGGGAGGGGUGGGAGACUGUCCACCUCGGGGCUCCACCGUUGAGGGUCUCUGGCUUGCAGUCCACCAGUUUCUGGGCUGGUGGAACGAGAGCAGGAUGGUGGGAAGCUGGGAGGUGCUUCACUGAAGUUACAUCUCAGAGGCAAGGAGAAGGGGAAGUGCCACCAUCUGCAGCUGCACUGCUCGCAGCCUCAUAGGAGGGUCAGGAGCCGUGACUCCCAAGGGAAGAGUGAAAACAAUUGGUGUGGAUAGAGCUCAGUUGUAAACAUUAGUCAGAAUGAACACAGUGGGUCUUUUCUGCCCCGUCUCCUGGUUACCGAGCCGCUGUAAACCCACAGGCUCAGCGCAGCUGGCUCCAGCUCCAGAGCCGGGCAAGUGACCUGAACCUGACCGAUUCCAGCAUGACUUCUUUUGGGCCAUUGUGGUUGGUUCAGGGGUGACUCGACUGGUCAGAUGGGAUUUGGUUUCUGAUCUUUUGUUUGAACUGUGGGGCAAUAGAAUCUCUCUUUUCACUGGACUCAUGGCUGGGAGAAUAUGAGCCUGGAACUUCUGGAAGCUUUUAAGUACAGGGAGGAACUCUCCCCAAGGCUAACCCAGCAAAAUGUAGUGUUGAGAGAAGGACAGAGGUCACAUCCUGAUGCUAUUGUGUGUAAGUUCCUGGAUCAAACCAUACCUGAAGGUUGAUUGAAUUUUUCAGUGAUUUAAGAGUCCUGAUUGAUACACUCGUUCUCCAAAAUACAUACAUGGCUCUCUGAACAGUAGUGAUGGGGGAUAUCUCUCCACCAGAAUGCAUUUUCACUCUCCUCACUUCCUCUCCAUUCACAAUGGGUUGCUUAUUCUGCAGCAGCAUAUGGGCUGGGCUCCUGGCAUAAAAAAGGAAUAUGACCUGGGUUUUAUCUUCAGAGUCAUGAUCUAGAAAGAGGGACAAAGAUAACUAGAGUAGCUCAUUGUAAGUUGUGCUGAGAUAAAAAUUAACUGUCAUAGGGACUAACUGGAGAAAGGAAGCCUGGAUCUCAGAGGGGCAGGGGUGUUAAUUAAGGCUGUGGAGAGGAUGUAAUACUCAUUAAUUUCAAUGGCUUAUUUAUUUAUUUAGCUGCACCAAGUCUUAGCUGUGUCAUGUGGGGUCUAGUUCCCUGACCUGCGUUGGGAGCAUGGCAUCUUGGGCACUGACCCACCAGGGAAGUCCCUGAAUAGGUAUCGACUGAGCAUCUGCUACAUGUUAUAUAUAUGUGUGUGUUAUACAUACAUGUGCUCAGUGCUGGGAAUACACAAGCAGGUAUUUAUAAACAGAUACAGUCCCUGACCUCGAGGAGCUGAUAGUGUAGUGGAAACAGGGUGACUCGACUUCCCAGAAUAAGGUAUGAGGGUAGGAGGAUCAUGGACCUAUGAGAACAAAUAACCAAAGAACUUUGGGAUUUAGGGGAGGCUUCUCCACAGAGGAAACACUUGCGCGUGUAGUCGAAGGAGGAGCAGGAAGAAACUAAGAUCCAGUGGAAUGGACCCUUGGUAGAAGGGGAGACGUCCUCGCAGCUUCCGUGGCGCGAAGGAGUGAAAUAACCAAACAAGCAGACAAAGCAUUUGGCUGUCUCACUGAGAGGUUAGGACCCAUGAUUCUUAACUCCAGGGCUUUCUCACUCACGAUUUAUUUUUUCUCCGGGCAAGAAUACUGGAGUGGGUUGCCAUGCCCUCCUCUAGGGUCUUCCCAACCCAGGGAUCGAAGGCAGGUCUCCCCCAUUGCAGGUGGAUUCUUUACCAUCUGAGCUACAAGGGAAGCCCAAGAAUACUGGAGUGGGUAGCCUAUGCCUUCUCCAGGGGAUCUUCCUGACCCAGAAAUCAAACCGGGGUCUCCUGCAUUGCAGGCAGAUUCUUUACCAGUUGAGCUACCAGGGAAGCCACAUGUUAAUACUUUAUUAUGAAAAAAUUGCCAAAUAAUAUUCCCUUGUAUGGCUAUACCACAUUUCACUUGAUGGGUAUGUGGGUUGUUUCCUGUUUUUGGUCGUUAUGAAUAAUGCCUGUAUGAACAUUUGUGUAUGUGUUUUUGUGUGGAAAUAUAGUUUCAUUUCUGCUGGGUGCAUGCUGAGGAGUGGAAUUGCUGGGUCAUAUGGUAACUCUAGGCCUUCUCCGGUCACUCAGCCAUAAGGAAUCCAUCUGCAAUGCAGGAGACACAGGUUCAGUCCUUGGGUUGGGAAGAUCUCCUGGAGAAGGGAAUGGUAACUCACUCUGGUAUUCUUGCCCGGAGAAUCCCAGAGGAGCCUGGUGGGCCACAGUCCACAGAGUCGCAAAGUCAGACACAACUGAAGUGACUUAGCACGCAUGCACAUGCUAACUCUAUGGUUAACAUUGUGAGGAUCUGCCAGAGAGCUUUCCAAAGUGGCUGCAUUAUUUUACACUCCCACCAGCAGCGCGUGAGGUUUCAAUUUCUCCACAUCCUUGCCAACACUUGCUAUCAUCUCCCCUUUUGAUUACAGCCCUCCUUGUGAGUGUGAAAUGGUAUCUCAUAGCGGUUUUGCUUUGCAUUUUCUUGAUGGAUAAUGAGGUUGAUUAUCUUUUCCCGUGCUUAUUGGUCAUUUCUAUAUCUUCUUUGGAAAAAUGCCUGUGA